CGUAACACGUGUGCAACCUGCCUUUAUCUGGGGAGUAGCCUUUCGAAAGGAAGAUUAAUACUCCAUAAUAUAUUGAACGGCAUCGUUUAAUAUUGAAAGCUCCGGCGGAUAGAGAUGGGCACGCGCAAGAUUAGCUAGUUGGUGAGGUAACGGCUCACCAAGGCGAUGAUCUUUAGGGGGCCUGAGAGGGUGAUCCCCCACACUGGUACUGAGACACGGACCAG
rnacentral:rRNA from 1 species